GUCGAGCGAGUCUGCCUUGAAGAUCGGAGUGCUUGCACUCUGUGAAACAAGAUACAGGCUAGCGGCGGACGGGUGAGUAACACGUGGGUAACCUGCCCAAGAGAUCGGGAUAACACCUGGAAACAGAUGCUAAUACCGGAUAACAACAGAUGAUGCCUAUCAACCGUUUAAAAGAUGGUUCUGCUAUCACUCUUGGAUGGACCUGCGGUGCAUUAGCUAGUUGGUAGGGUAACGGCCUACCAAGGCGAUGAUGCAUAGCCGAGUUGAGAGACUGAUCGGCCACAUUGGGACUGAGACACGGCCCAAACUCCUACGGGAGGCAGCAGUAGGGAAUCUUCCACAAUGGACGCAAGUCUGAUGGAGCAACGCCGCGUGAGUGAAGAAGGGUUUCGGCUCGUAAAGCUCUGUUGUUGGUGAAGAAGGACAGGGGUAGUAACUGACCUUUGUUUGACGGUAAUCAAUUAGAAAGUCACGGCUAACUACGUGCCAGCAGCCGCGGUAAUACGUAGGUGGCAAGCGUUGUCCGGAUUUAUUGGGCGUAAAGCGAGUGCAGGCGGUUCGAUAAGUCUGAUGUGAAAGCCUUCGGCUCAACCGGAGAAUUGCAUCAGAAACUGUCGAGCUUGAGUACAGAAGAGGAGAGUGGAACUCCAUGUGUAGCGGUGAAAUGCGUAGAUAUAUGGAAGAACACCGGUGGCGAAGGCGGCUCUCUGGUCUGUUACUGACGC
rnacentral:rRNA from 1 species